ensembl:lncRNA
CUUUCAAGGAAAUACUUAAAUUUUAAGUUAUAUAGGAGCGCACUGUUCGCACGCUUGUCGGUCGUUGAGUGCGUUCACCCUCACGAGUACCACGGCGAAGCCCAGCAAUAGUCACCCCCUUUUCCCAGGGAAGCGCUCUGGGGAAGGAAAAGGCACAAAGGACGGGAUCUAAAAUCACGGGCUAGUUAACUUCGAUAGCCUAAAUCCGAAACGGUCAUUUUAAAAAAAAUCACUGUUAAUUUUUUAAAAUGACCUGUUAACCGGCCGCUUGGCUUGGAGGGCGGCUGAGCUCGGUCCUCCCCCCGCUGCCGGCCCCGAGCGGCGCCGGCGCGAGCGGGACGGGCGACGGAGACGGAGCCUCGGUGACCUCCUCAGACUCACCCUUGGACGUGUCGGUCUUUUAGGACAGCGCUGUAGGCUUGACCGGCUUGCAAACGCACUCGACGCCUUCAGUCGAAGCUGGACCACCGUGCAGCAACGGAGGAGAGAAAGGAGGAAGGAAGAACGAUUUCAGUUGUUUCGUAAUUACUGGUCUCGGAGCACUGUUGAUGCUCUUGCCGGAAAAGGAAAAGUAUUACACCAGAAAAGGAAGGGAGAAGACCUGUGGUGUAUCUUAAAUCAAUCCGUUUUGCUUCGGAGGACUAAAUGAGUUGAUUACGGCACACCUAGGGAAUUGUUGAAUUGAAAAAAGGCUGCUUCAGAAACAGCAAGAGAGAAGAGUACCAAAUUACGGCUUCCUCUUUCAAAAAUAGUCGAGCAUUUCUUUCUCACGGAUUGCUGCCUCUGGAAAGUUAUUUGGCUCAUUUGGUAUGCAGUUUAGGUAUUGGCGUUCUCAGAGGAGGGCUGAGGAGGCUGCAGGCUUCAUCGUUAGCGCAGGGCAGAGCAGCACACGUGGUCGCCACAUGCUGGGGAAGUGUUGGCGUGGCUCUGUGGCUUUCGCCUCUCCCUCGGACCUCCUUCGGAGCAAACAUCGCUCCGCAGGAUGCAACCCUUCCAAAAUGCCUUGCCGAAGCAUCAGGUGGAACUAAUGUGACUGAAGUGUCUAUAAUGGAGGUGUUUUUGCCUGACAAGUCACCCCAGGCGCCUCUUACAGUCGUUAGAGAACGAGUCAACAGUCGGAGAAGAGGAGAGUGCCCCUCAUCUCAUCCUGAAUUGGACGUCUAUGUUUGGUCACCUGAAUCGCACCCUAAACUUACUGAUGAGAUCUGGGUGCUUAGAGCAUCACCAAAGAUAUAAACCAUUUAGAGGCUAAAGUAGGGGAAAUUAGUACCACCCGUGUUGUGCGAUCCAGCCCAAUAUCCACGGUCAGAUGCACGGUCAGAGGCACCCUAAAGCACGGGACUACGCUCCGUCAGACUGAAAGGCAGUAAAUACGUUAUCGCACCUCCUACGCCUGCGCUGGAGAGCCGAUCUGCCAAAGCGAUGCGUCAGAUUGCUGCGCGUGCAGAGCGGAUCUGAUCUCGCUGUGUAUUAAUUGUGCUGUGCCUGGAGUCUCCUAGCUGGUAAGACAACCACGGAGAGCUGCAGAAAAUUCCCGCUGAUUUCAGUGGCCUUUAGACCAACCCUUGAAUCGCUGCAGAAUGCCUACGUGUACUGUAGUGAAUGAUUAUAAUCCAGAAGUUACAGCUAGAGAAAUAACGUACUGAAAGGUCCCUCAGAGUUCCCAGCUCCCAGUUCAGUUUUCAGUUCUCCAAACUGUGCACAAACUUACUUAGCAAUGUUAUAGGGCUGAGAAGAGAAAUAAUAGAUUUUUAAAAUUAAUUCUGAAUGUUUUUGUUUUGUUAAAGACAAGUUGCAGCUCACUUUUUUAACCCUCCUGCAGUACAACAUUCUAAUGUCUUUUAAGUACACUUGGAUCAUGGUAUAAAUCAAUACUCCUUUUUUUUACAAAACUUUAAAAUAACUUUUAAUAAAAUCAAUUAUUAAUUUUACA